rnacentral:rRNA from 1 species
CCUACGGGUGGCAGCAGUAGGGAAUCUUUCACAAUGGGCGAAAGCCUGAUGGAGCAACGCCGCGUGCAGGAUGAAGGCCUUCGGGUUGUAAACUGCUUUUAUAAGCGAGAAAUAUGAUGGUAACUGAUGAAUAAGAAUCGGCUAACUCCGUGCCAGCAGCCGCGGUAAUACGGAGGAGCCGAGCGUUAUCCGGAUUUAUUGGGUUUAAAGGGAGCGUAGAGGGGUUGGUAUGUAAGUUGUGAAAGUUUGCGGCUCAACCGUAAGCUUGCAAUUGAUACUGGCAUUCUUGAGUACAGUAGAGGUAGGCGGAAUUCGUGGUGUAGCGGUGAAAUGCUUAGAUAUCACGAAGAACUCCGAUGGCGAAGGCAGCUUACUAAACUGCCACUGACAUUGAUGCUCGAAAGUGUGGGUAUCAAACAGGAUUAGAUACCCUGGUAGUC